UUUAGCUGCCGCAUCGGCUGGGGGAGGAGGGUCGUGAGGCCGCCCCCAGCCGAUGCGGCACGGAAA
rnacentral:miRNA from 1 species